rnacentral:rRNA from 1 species
UAGGGCUUUUCGGGUAACCAGCGGGUUUGGGUGUCGGCGUACGGGGGCGGAGGAAGGAGGGAGUGAGCAGAGUCGGCGUGCUUGGGAUCGGCGGCGGGGUGGGCGUAGGCAGGAGGUAGGGACCAUGCUCGAGAAGGAGGAGACAGAUACAGACGGGGCUCGAGAAGGAGGAGGCAGGAGUGUACGAGGUGGGGCUCAGAGAAGGUGGGGUGGGCCUGAAGCGGAGUAGGCAAGCGCGUGGUCAAGUUUCCCGUCCCGGUCUCUCGGCACCGCUCAGGAACCCUCUCCUCUCCUUCCGUUUCCGCCUCGUCUCCUUUAGUUCUUCCAGUCCCCCGCUACCUCCCUCGCGUGCCGGCUUGCUUGGGAUCGGCCGAUCGGGGGUUGGGCGUCGAGGGAGGAAGGGCGUCGGGGUCCUCGAGGCGGUGGAGUAAGCUGCUCUAGGUGGCGGAGGGGUUCCAGGAAUAGGUGGGGUCCAGCGCUCCUUCGGCGCCUUCCUCCUCUAGUCGACCCGCAGUGGCCGGCCUCUUCCUCCUCUCCGCGCCUACGGUCGGUUCCUCCGUCUAGCCGAACGGAGAUGACGUGGCACUCACAUCGGCGACGGAGACGUGGGUGGAACGAGCCGGUAGUACCCUCCUGCGAGUGGUAGCUUCUCGUCGGCGUCCACGCUGUUGUAAUGUUCUCGACGUCGGUCAUCCUCCACUACUACGCAGCGGGGUAACUUUUCUCGUCCCGCCGCCUAACCUAGCUCCCACGGACGUACCGGUGCGGUGACGACGGCGGACCUCAGCGGAACCCGCGGCGAAGCUCACUGGAGGUAGCGGCGGGGCUCAGUUGAGGUGGUGACGGCGGUCCUUAGGGCAGGGGCCACUCCCUCACUCAGUUCACUGUAUGUCUGUGUUCUUUAUAAGUCAAUACUCCUAACUUCUUUAAUUACUAGUAAGUCAGUAACUCCUAAACUCUUCUCUGUAGUUACGAGGUCAUCUCCACAAUAACUUCAACACCGACAGUUAUCAGGAAAAUAACUACGAUUCAUGUACCUAGGUAACUCUAGCACCUACUAAGUCAUAACCUCUAAUUACGCUUUUCUAGUGUUGGUGUCCGCUUUCUCCCUUUCCUCUUCAGACUUACGCGGUUGUUCAUCGCUGGUUACUCGACAGCAGAUACCUAACCGAUUCGCUCCUCAACAGAACGCGACGUUCCCGUAGAACGUCUAGCUAAAGGAACCAAACUACACAGAGUCUAAGAUUAAUCAUAAAUUAAAGGAACCAAAAUUGAAUAUUGGCCUGUUUUUAACAAUAACGUGGACUUAUAAACUAAUACUUAGAUUCAAUACCCUUUAUCCACCUCAUUCUCCUUUACUCCGCAACAAGCUACCCCGGAACGGUGCCAACGGAACUCAAAAGCGUAGCUUCGUGGUGAAACAUACCGAUCUGAAGGUACCGAUGUAUCUCCCAGGGUUAGACGUCUGUUCUUCCGGAGGAGCCUGUAAUUUUUCCAUGCUGAUCCAUCGUCACCUUCACGAGGCAAGUUUUUGUUUUCGAGAUGUAUACGUUUACCUCCAAGUCUGUGUAGAGGUACUUGUCUUAUACCACCAGUCGUUUUAGAUGUUCUCGUAGGCAGGAUCCACAUCUUAUUGUUCCCCGCACACGACGCUUUUUAAUUCUCUCCCCCUGUUACUUUUCCUCAACGAAGCUGUUAUGUAAAGAUCUGCUGGAGUUACGCCACGAGUCCCACCGUUUGCUUCUCCGCGGGUUGCAGGAACACCACCUCUAUCCCCUCCUCAACCCGCAGGAGCACCACCUCUUGUCCCUGCGCGGUCGCAGGAGCGCCACCUCUUACCCCUCUGCUGCACGUAGGAACGUCACCCCUUGCUCUUUCGUAUAGAACAAGGACCUUUUUAUAUCACGUCACACCACGAAAGCCAACUAUCAGUUCUCGGUACUUAUCCUCGUUCCGUAGUGUGAGGUCGAGACUCUUCUUUUUCUAUACUUCUGUCUCUAUCUAGUCACAAAACGAGGCUUCGUUUUUGUAAAACGUACAUUAUUACUUAAUAUCAAAUGGUGUUAGAGAGAUUUUGUCCGGAUGGAUAAUGGUCAGGCAACGAACGGAAAAAAUCCUUCAUACUGAGUCAACAUAUAUAAAUGUAAACACAACAAAUCAACACCAAACAUACGAACUUUUAUACAAAAUCGGCUCGAACUUUUAAGAAUACACGUCACUUUAACAUACAUUGUGAAACAUUUCUUGUUUACUUUGUACAAAGUUUAUUGAGUAUCAGAUUUAGCUGUGGAACACGGUAAGCUG